rnacentral:rRNA from 1 species
UACGUAGGGGGCAAGCGUUGUCCGGAAUCAUUGGGCGUAAAGCGAGCGUAGGCGGCCCGAUAAGUCUGCUGUAAAAGUCAACGGCUCAACCGUUGAAAGCCGGUGGAUACUGUCGGGCUAGAGUUCGGAAGAGGCAAGUGGAAUUCCUGGUGUAGCGGUGGAAUGCGCAGAUAUCAGGAGGAACACCUAUAGCGAAGGCAGCUUGCUGGGACGAUACUGACGCUAAGGCUCGAAAGCGUGGGGGAGCGAACAGG